GCCUUCUAGCUGCUUGAGAAACCAGAUGAGAAGAACACUUCACUGGAGUCAGACAAGAAGGCAGGUUAGGAAAUGGAAGGGAGAAGAGGAAAAUGCUCAAAUCGGCAAACAGGGCUGAGGCCUGAGGGAACUGAGGUUUUACAUUUCUCCACUGAAAGGGGCCCCUUCAACUGCGUUCAACAUUUCUGCCUUUCCUUUCCAAUGUGCUUCAACCUUGACAUCUGUGGGAAACCUCCUGCCCUUUUCUGACACGAACAAUUAUCUCUGCAUAUGGGCGAAGCUCCGAGGCCAGGAAUGGGAACAUCUGGUGCCUAGGAGGGUGUCGAACUGGAACUUCCCUCAUCC
rnacentral:lncRNA from 11 species